UAUGGAAGGGCCAUCGCUCAACGGAUAAAAGCUACCCUGGGGAUAACAGGCUUAUCUCCCCCAAGAGUCCACAUCGACGGGGAGGUUUGGCACCUCGAUGUCGGCUCAUCGCAUCCUGGGGCUGUAGUCGGUCCCAAGGGUUGGGCUGUUCGCCCAUUAAAGCGGUACGCGAGCUGGGUUCAGAACGUCGUGAGACAGUUCGGUCCCUAUCCGUCGCGGGCGUAGGAAAUUUGAGAGGACCUGUCCUUAGUACGAGAGGACCGGGAUGGACAUACCUCUGGUGUACCAGUUGUGCCGCCAGGCGCAUCGCUGGGUAGCUACGUAUGGAUGUGAUAAACGCUGAAAGCAUCUAAGUGUGAAACACACCUCGAGAUGAGAUUUCCCAUUCCUUUAUGGAAGUAAGACCCCUGAAAGAUGAUCAGGUAGAUAGGUUAGAAGUGGCAGUGCGGUGACGCAUGAAGCGGACUAAUACUAAUCGGUCGAGGACUUAACCAA
rnacentral:rRNA from 1 species